rnacentral:rRNA from 1 species
UACGUAGGCAGCGAGCGUUGUUCGGAGUUACUGGGCGUAAAGGGUGUGUAGGCGGUUAUUUAAGUUUGGUGUGAAAUCUCCCGGCUCAACCGGGAGGUGCGCCGAAUACUGAAUGACUUGGAGUGCGGGAGAGGUGAGUGGAAUUCCUGGUGUAGCGGUGAAAUGCGUAGAUAUCAGGAGGAACACCGGUGGUGUAGACGGCUCACUUGGACCGUAACUGACGCUGAGACACGAAAGCGUGGGGAGCAAACAGG